rnacentral:rRNA from 1 species
UGGGGAAUAUUGCACAAUGGGCGGAAGCCUGAUGCAGCGACGCCGCGUGAGGGAUGGAGGCCUUCGGGUUGUGAACCUCUUUCGCCAGUGAAGCAGGCCCGCUCCUUUUGGUGGGUGGGUUGACGGUAGCUGGAUAAGAAGCGCCGGCUAACUACGUGCCAGCAGCCGCGGUAAUACGUAGGGCGCGAGCGUUGUCCGGAAUUAUUGGGCGUAAAGGGCUUGUAGGCGGCUGGUCGCGUCUGCCGUGAAAUCCUUCGGCUUAACCGGGGGCUUGCGGUGGGUACGGGCCGGCUUGAGUGCGGUAGGGGAGGCUGGAAUUCCUGGUGUAGCGGUGGAAUGCGCAGAUAUCAGGAGGAACACCGGUGGCGAAGGCGGGUCUCUGGGCCGUUACUGACGCUGAGGAGCGAAAGCGUGGGGAGCGAACAGG